GUGUGCGUGUGUGUGCGUGUGUGUGUGUGUGUGUGUGUGUGUGUGUGUGUAUGCGUUUGUAAGAGGAAGGCGAAGCUUAUUGCUGAUUGUCGGGAGGUGAGAGAGGACCAUGAGAGAGCUGACUCUCCAGUACUGCUCCAUAUGUCUGUGGGAGAAGGAGAACGAGAAACUCGGACACAAGAGUACUUCCUGACCAUUGGUACUAUGUACACAUCGACAUACACGCACGUCAGGAGCUUUCACACACAGUGCUAGGAAUAUCCCUGGACAGAGAAACACACCUCCUACGUGAGCGAGUUUACUGUCAACCGGUGAAAUUUGCUGUAGCGUGAACACUUCGCCUCUGUGAGCUUCACUCUCCGUCAGGUUCACUGUAAUUAGACAUAAAAUGUACAUAAUGUUUAUUUUUCAUACAUUUAGGAUUUAAUGUUUUUUUUUUUACUCUUCGAGGAACAGAAAUGAUCUUUCGAGGCAGCUUCUUCAUCACUACCUGCUCCGUUUGACUCAAAAACGUAACGACCGGUUUCAAAAAGUCACGAUGUCUUCAGUUCAUGUGAUUUUACUGUUGAAUUUAAACAGGAAAUGUGAAAUUGUUUUUUUCCUUUGUUUCCUCUACUGUCUUUUUGCUGUGAUCUUGAACACAGUUGUAAUUUUUUUUAAAAUAAUAAAUAAAUGAUCAUUCUAGUUCUCCCA